rnacentral:rRNA from 1 species
UGGCGGCGUGCCUACACAUGCAAGUCGAACGAGAAAGUCCCGCAAGGGAUGAGUACAGUGGCGCACGGGUGAGUAACACGUGACUAACCUACCUUCGAGUGGGGGAUAACCUCGGGAAACCGGGGCUAAUACCGCAUAACAUCGUCGGGUGAAAUUCCUGCCGAUCAACGGAGCAAUCCGCUUGAAGAGGGGGUCGCGGCUGAUUAGCUAGUUGGUGAGGUGAUGGCUCACCAAGGCUGUGAUCAGUAGCCGGCCUGAGAGGGCGCACGGCCACACUGGAACUGAAACACGGUCCAGACUCCUACGGGAGGCAGCAGUGGGGAAUUUUGCGCAAUGGGGGAAACCCUGACGCAGCAACGCCGCGUGGAGGAUGAAGUCCCUUGGGACGUAAACUCCUUUCGACCGGGACGAAUUAUGACGGUACCGGAAGAAGAAGCCCCGGCUAACUUCGUGCCAGCAGCCGCGGUAAUACGAGGGGGGCAAGCGUUGUUCGGAAUUAUUGGGCGUAAAGGGCGCGUANGCGGUGCGGAAAGUCUUCAGUGAAAUCUCUGGGCUC